ACCGGCGUGGUCUAGUGGCUAGGAUACCUGGCUUUCACCUAGGAGGCCCGGGUUCGAUUCCCGGUGUGGGAA
rnacentral:tRNA from 1 species